AAGCGUAUCAUUAAGAGCUCUGCUGCCGAAGAGUCCCGGUUUUCUCUGGUAACACAGCUCGAUCUCAGUUUGUUUCCUGUGGACGAGCGCGAAGCGAGCGCUGGGACGGGGCUCGGUCCAGCUGAAAGCAAUAGAGGAAUCGUUCUGCGGUGUAAUCGGACCCAAAGCAAGUGUUCUUCAUUAUGUCAGUGUUGCUUAGUCACUAGCAAACACUGCUGAGUUUGAAUUUUGUGGGGGGGCGUAAAGAUUUAUGAGCCAAUCAACGGCUUGACUAACGAGCAGCACUGGCAGCGCGUCCUGAACUCGACGCAGGAGGUCGGAGGAGGAUCUGGUGCGAACGUACGGAUGAAGCUGGGAGUUCUGACCCGGCGAGAAGACGCAGAACGUGAACCUGGACGCUCAUCCUCACCUCCAGGACCCGUCAGCAGGUUCUCAGCGAAGCUCGGCCCGGCUCUGACCCCUCGCACAUUUGGUCCACUUCCACUCUGGUUCCUUUCACUCCUUAAGGCCGUUCAGCGCGAGCCUGUAGCGUGAAGCUCUCGGUGAUCAAGGAGUGGAAAUACUCCUCACUCUGCUUGUGCUCUGAGCAAAGACCUCAGAGGAGCAAAGCGAUAACAUCGCAUCAGAACCAGAUCCGAGCUGCCUUCCAUGGACCCACUCACCCGGGGGCUCGGCCUCCCACGCUGGCCCACCCCGGUCACUUCCUGUUGGGCCACUCCUCUCCUCAGCUGUGGGGAUGCUGGAUCUCGGUGGAGUCUGGCAUUUGACUGUGGCAGAGCUUGGAGCGGAGGAGGUGGGCCGAUGCUAUCAAAGGUCCUGCUGGGUUGGGGCUGAGGGGGCGUCUGGACAGCAGCCACGGCUCUAAUGACCCUCUGUCGGCUGGUAAUUGUUGCCUUGGCUUAUGCUCAAGCCUUUGUACGUUCCAGGAGCCAGCAGUAAUGAUCAAAGUUGCUCUUAACUUAGCAAUACCUUAAUCCCUCCGCACUAAACAAGGCUCGGUGAUGGAGCCCGCUCUGGUUUCUCUCUGGAUUAAAGGGGCCUCCAAAGCUGGAGCUUUGGCCCUUAUUGAUAGCUGGAGCACUGGAGCUGAGGAUUAACUCGCGCUGCUCCAUCUGCAAUCAAGUCUCACCUGGACCGGCGCCAUGUGGGCCCAUCAUGUCGCCAUGGCGAUGGAUACUGUACUCUGCUGUACGACAAGAACGGGGCCAUUCUCCACGGCCGCUGAUAUGAAGACACAUCUUAUCUGAGCGGGAUUAAAAUAGAUCAUGGAGACUUUUCACAAACUGUUUAGUCAUUCCUGAGAUUCUCUUAAGCCCUAAAAAUACUCCGCUGCAGAUGUCUAUGUCCAAAGGAGUCCCCUCCUCAACUACUAGGUUUCAUGGUUUGAAAAGAGUAAAUUAGCAUAUUCUAAUAAA